rnacentral:misc_RNA from 1 species
UUGUGGAGGAGGACGCCGAAGGUGGGGCUAAUGACUGGGGUGAAGUCGUAACAAGGUAGCCGUACCGGAAGGUGCGGCUGGAUCACCUCCUAACAGGGAGACAACAAAAUGUUUAAUAUUAUUUUGUCACCUUAGGUCGAUCGAUAUCUCACGUUCUUAAUUAAUUAAGAAUUUCAUUUCCUAAGUUUUUCUAGGUCACACCCAUUAUUUUUCCUGGGCCAUUAGCUCAGGUGGUUAGAGCGCACCCCUGAUAAGGGUGAGGUCCCUGGUUCAAGUCCAGGAUGGCCCAUAUCUCUAUGUUGGGGGUAUAGCUCAGUUGGUAGAGCGCCUGCUUUGCAAGCAGGAUGUCAGCGGUUCGAGUCCGCUUACCUCCACUGAUUACCACCUCUUCCAUAAUCUAUAGAAAGGAAAUGUUUUGAGUUGUGAUCAAAUUCUGAACGAAUCUAGCUUCCUAAUGAAAGUAUUAAGAUGCUGGACUCAUUGAAUAAAUUCAUUGUUUUCAGAGAACCUUGACAACUGCAUAGAUUAUUUUUUUAAAGACAAUAAGCAUCUUUAAUGAUGCAGAUUUAUUAUUUGUGCUAAUGCAUUAAUAACAAUUCUAUUAAGCUGAUGCUUCAAUUUUGAAGUUAUUGGUCAAGCUACAA